rnacentral:lncRNA from 1 species
GGUCUAUAAUGGAACGAGAGGAAAAGAGGUUUGUGUACUGUAUACGCUGUUCCUCUGAACAAUGAUCCAGAGGGAAUGGAGGAAGGCAUUAAGGUUUCCUGUGCCCCGGAAUGCCGUUGACUCCGACUCGAAGUGCCUUUCCGCUUUUUCGAUGGUUCCUCCAUUUGAGGAGUUUUUCGGGAUUUCAAUCGGUUCAAAUGAAAGAGAUUUAAAAAAGAUGAAGUUUGGGCUUUGUGGGGAGUGAUUUGGACAAGAAUUGAGUGAGAUAUGGAUGGAAGAAAAAUUGGGGGCAAGGGUUUUCGAGAGAAAGAGGAGUUGCAGGUUUCAGAAUUUGAAAUUUGAAUAUAUAGGUGCAGGGACACAUUGUAAUCGAUUACACAAAUAUGGU